GUUUUGUUUGUUAUAUUGCAAAACAGAAAAAGAUGCGGGUAUAGCACAAACUUCUCUAUGUUACAAUGGAGCUCCAGAAGAUUUACGUCCCGUAUCAAUCAAGACAUGUGAAGAUAGGCAUAUUUAUAUACCCCAGAGGUAAAAGUUCAGACUGGAUGUUUAAAGAUCUCAGCUUAUUCACUCUAAUACUUAAAUCCAAAGAUGAUACUGGAUGCAUUCACUUCUCCCAGCUUGACAAAAUGUACCAUUCUGGUUUGGUGGAUAAUGCUGCUAAAUUGAAGAUGUUAUCUCUCUCAUUCACAUACCUAUAUUUUUCUUCUACCAGGUGUUGCCAUGACACAGGACAGCUCCUAGAAAUUCUACCAGUAGGAAGAGCUAGCAACAAAAUUUAAUAAAAUAUAUGCAGGAAGAUUCCACCUCUUCUGUCAUACCACCACCAUCCUCCUCUGAUGUGGGCCACCAAAGUAAAAUAGAAAACAUUACUUUGGGAGCAGCGGUCAUAGGUAGUUUCAGCUGGUAUAACCUCUCUAUGUUUUCUGCAUUGAAAGUAAGUGUUUAUUACUUGGAAACCCAGAAAAGACCUGUCCUUUAGUCAUUUAAAUGUGGGAUCUGAAAUGUUAUAAAAUGCACCUGUUAGAGACUGUGCUGGAAUUCAAUUAGCUCUUAUGUGAUUUUUGCAGCUGAACUAAUUGGCUGAAAGAUUAUACUGGAUAAAUACAAGAUAUAAAAUGGAUUAUCAGGGAAGAAAUCUAGAGAAAUGUCAUGAUUUCACUUUGUAAUUUUGUACAUAAAAUGACAAUUACAUUACUAUUCUGCUUUAAGUAGAACACAACCAGAUUUGUAUUACUUGUAUAUUUUGAAUUUUCAAAAGAACAAUAUUCUAGUUAAUACUUGUGUUAAAUGUCAAGUGCUUUUGAGUAGGAAAAAAACUGCUCUACUACAAUGAUUAUAGUUUAUAAAUUGUGAACAUUUAUUUCCAUUUAUCAUUUAUGUUAUUUGUAAUGCUUGACUAGCAUAACUUCACAUAAAUCAAAUUGAUGAGACCAAGCUAAGUGGUGCAGUUGACAUGCUAGAUGGGAGGGAUUGCAUUCAGAGGGACAUGGACAGGCUUGAGAAUUAGGCCCAUGCCAACCUCAUUAAGUUCAACAAGACCAACUGCAAGGUCCUGGGUUAGAACAAUCCCAAGAACAGAUACAGGUUGGGCAGAGAAUGACUUUAGAGCAGCCCUCAGGAGAAGGAUUUGGGAGUGUUUGUUGAUGAAAGACUGAACAUGAGCUGGCAAUGUGUGCUUGCAGCGCAGAAGGCCAACUGUAUCCUGGGUUGCAUCAAGAGAAGCGUGACCAGUAAGCCAAGGGAGGUGAUUCUGCCCCUCCACUCUGCUCUUAUGAGAGCGCACCUGGAGUACUGCAUCCACUUCUGGGCCCCCAAUACAAGAAGGACAUGGAGCUGUUGGAAUGGGUCCAGAGGAGAGCCACAAAGAUGAUCAGGGGGCUGGAACACCUCUCCUACAGAGACAGGCUGAUAGAGCUAGGGCUCUUCAGACUGGAGAAGAGAAGACUCCAGGGAUGACCAUUCAGUGACUUUCCAGUCCCUGAAGAGGGCCUACAGGAAAACUGGGAAGGGACUGGUAAGGGCAUGGAAUGACAGAAUGAGGGGAAAUGACUUUCAGCUGGAAGAGGGUGGAUUUAGGCUAGAUGUUAGGAAGAAAUUCUUUACUGUGAGGGUGAUGAGACACUGGAACAGGUUGCCCAGUGAGGUUAUGGAUGCUGCCUCCCUGAAAGCAUUCAAGGCCAGGUUGGAUGGGUCUUUGAGCAACCUGGUCUAGAGAGUGGUGUCCCUGCCUAUAGUAGGAAGUUUGGAACUAGGUAAUCUUAAAGGUCCCCCCCAAAGCAAACCAUUCUAUGAUUCUAUGAUUAAGAAGCUUACUCUGACUUGUUAUUAAGAAAAAAGUAACAACAGAUUUUAAUUAACAUGCCUAACAUUAAUCUGUAAAUGCUUUAUAACAAUUUAAUAAUAGGAGUACAUUUUCCUUUAUGGCAGUACAACUAUCAAAUAUUUUAUUUUUAUGUGUGUCCACUAAGGAUUUUGUAGAUCUGUUUCACUGUAUGUUUUCAUUUUACAUUCUCUAGAUUGGUCUGGUAUCAGCUAAGUGAUACAUUUCCUAGCUUUACAUUGAACAAGUGGAACUUUGCUGUUUUACUAGUAUAAAUGAAAAUAAAGCAAAAUUAUGG
ensembl:lncRNA